AGUGAACGCUGGCGGUAGGCCUAACACAUGCAAGUCGAACGGCAGCACAGUAAGAGCUUGCUCUUACGGGUGGCGAGUGGCGGACGGGUGAGGAAUACAUCGGAAUCUACUUUUUCGUGGGGGAUAACGUAGGGAAACUUACGCUAAUACCGCAUACGACCUACGGGGGAAAGCAGGGGAUCUUCGCACCUUGCGCGAUUGAAUGAGCUGAUGUCGGACUAGCUAGUUGGCGGGGUAAAGGCCCAGCAAGUCGACGAUCCGUAGCUGGUCUGAGAGGCUGGUCGGCCACACUGGAACGGAGACACGGUCCAGACUCCUGCGGGAGGCAGCAGUGUGGAAUAUUGGGCAAUGGGCGCAAGCCUGAUCCAGCCAUACCGCGUGUGUUAAGAAGGCCUUCGGGUCGUAAAGCCCUCUUGUUGGUAAAGAAAAGCAUCCGGUUGAGACCCCGCUGGACUGACGGUACCCAAUGAAUAAGCACCGGCUAACUUCGUG
rnacentral:rRNA from 1 species